UACGUAGGUGGCAAGCGUUAUCCGGAAUUAUUGGGCGUAAAGAGCGCGCAGGUGGUUGAUUAAGUCUGAUGUGAAAGCCCACGGCUUAACCGCGGAGGGUCAUUGGAAACUGGUCGACUUGAGUGCAGAAGAGGGAAGUGGAAUUCCAUGUGUAGCGGUGAAAUGCGUAGAGAUAUGGAGGAACACCAGUGGCGAAGGCGGCUUCCUGGUCUGUAACUGACACUGAGGCGCGAAAGCGUGGGGAGCAAACAGGAUUAGAUACCCCGGUA
rnacentral:rRNA from 1 species